rnacentral:ncRNA from 1 species
GAGUCUAACAUGUGCGCGCGAGUCAUGGGGAUUCUACGAAACCCAAAGGCGCAGUGAAAGUAAAGGCCUGCUUCUCGUAGGCUGAGGUGGGAUCUCGUGCAUCGCGAUUGGCGAGCGCACCACCGGCCCGUCCUAUCUGUCUCUGUCAGUGGGGCGGCGCAAGAGCGUACACGUUGGGACCCGAAAGAUGGUGAACUAUGCUUGCGCAGCUCGAAGUCAGUGGAAACACUGAUGGAGGAGCGCAGCGUUUCUGACGUGCAAAUCGAUCGUCAAACGUGAGUAUAGGGGCGAAAGACUAAUCGAACCAUCUAGUAGCUGGUUCCCUCCGAAGUUUCCCUCAGGAUAGCUGGCACUCGGGAAACAGUUUUAUCCGGUAAAGCGAAUGAUUAGAGGCAUUGGGGUCGAAACGACCUCGACCUAUUCUCAAACUUUAAAUGGGUAAGAUGCUCGUCUCGCUUAAUUGGAGGCGGGCUUCACCUCUCUAUAAACGUGAAUGUGAGUGCCCAGUGGGCCAUUUUUGGUAAGCAGAACUGGCGCUGUGGGAUGAACCAAACGCGCGGUUAAGGCGCCCAAUGCGGACGCUCAUGAGACACCACAAAAGGUGUUGGUCGAUACUGACAGCAGGACGGUGGCCAUGGAAGUCGGAACCCGCUAAGGAGUGUGUAACAACUCACCUGCCGAAUCAACCAGCCCUGAAAAUGGAUGGCGCUGGAGCGUCGGGCCUAUACCGUGCCGUUGGGGCGAAGCAGACAAAUAAUCUGUGUGGAUGUCCCAACGAGUAGGAGGGUCGCCGUGGUGAGCGCAGAAGGUGCGGCCGUGAGGCCGGCUGGAGCCGCCACGGGCGCAGAUCUUGGUGGUAGUAGCAAUUACUCAAGUGAGAACCUUGAGGACUGAAGUGGAGAAGGGUUCCAUGUGAACAGCAGUUGAACAUGGGUCAGGCGGUCCUAAGCGAUCGGGUAACUCCGUACCUAGACGAGGGUGACAACUAUCACUGAUAAUACUGUGAAGUGUUAUAGCCCUCCGGAGCGAAAGGGAAUCGUGUUAAUAUUCACGACCCUUACCGUGGAGAUCGCCCCUUUCGGGGGGCAAGUGCGGUAACGCAAACGAACACAGAGACGUCGGCUGGAGCCCCGGGAAGAGUUCUCUUUUCUUUGUAAGGAGCGUACCCCCUGGAAUCGGCUUGUCCGGAGAUAGGGGCGUGGCUUCCGUAAAGCAGCGCGGGUCUUUGCGCUGUCCGGUGCACUCUAGUCGGCCCUUGAAAAUCUGUGGGAGACAGUGUGAUUUUCACGGUAGGCCGUACCCAUAUCCGCAGCAGGUCUCCAAGGUGAACAGCCUCUAGUCCUAGAACAAUGUAGGUAAGGGAAGUCGGCAAAAUGGAUCCGUAACUUCGGGAAAAGGAUUGGCUCUGAGGGCUGGGUCGGAUGGGCUGGCGUAAGAAGCUGUUCCGGUUUUGGUGAGGACUGGGUGAGGCUUUCGGGCUUUACUCGGACCAUGCCGAGACCAGGCAGUAGACGACGUCAGCUGUGCUUGUCGUGUUUCGGCGCGGCAGCUUCGUCCGGCAACAAACAGCCAACUCAGAACUGGCACGGACUAGGGGAAUCCGACUGUCUAAUUAAAACAAAGCAUUGCGAUGGCUGUUGCUCGGUGUUGACGCAAUGUGAUUUCUGCCCAGUGCUCUGAAUGUCAAAGUGAAGAAAUUCAAUCAAGCGCGGGUAAACGGCGGGAGUAACUAUGACUCUCUUAAGAAUAAGGGAUAAGGAAGGAAGAAUAAGCGUUGGCUGCAUGAUGCCAAGGGGCAGUUUAAGUUUAGGGGGUCUACUCUGCCAGCACUUGGAGUUGAGGAGUCGUAUAAGUAUUUAGGACUUCAGUAUGGUUCAAAGGGCAAGUUGAAGACGGGGCUGGAGUUGCUUAAGGGUAUGCUCAGAGAGUUAAAGGAGGCGCCGUUGAAACCGCAGCAGAGAGUGUUCCUGCUCAGAACAAAUAUUCUACCUAAGAUUAUGUAUUACUUAGUUAAUGGACGCGUGCACCAGUACACUCUUCGCGAGUGUGACAAGUGUGUUCGACGUUUUCUUAGGGAGGUUCUCCAUCUGCCGCACGACACUCCGGUGUCUGCCUUUCAUGCGUGUGCGAAGGAUGGAGGCCUCGACAUCGACUGUUUUGAGUCGCUUGUCCCAAUGUAUAAAUGGCAGAAGCUGGUGAGCCUCGAAGAGGUUCCGGACAAUUUGGUCCGUGACUUGUCUCAGCUACCUGCCAUUCGCAAGCGGUUUCAACUUAAAGGUGCGCAGACCAGUUUUAAUAACAGAGCGGAGUAUCGGUGUUCUGGAAGAACAAGUUGCUGGACAAUCUAGAUGGAUUUGGUUUAGGUGAAGCAGCGGACGUUCCUCAAGUCCACUCUUGGGUGACUGAUGGCUCGUCCCUGCUCACAGGCGAAAUGUAUAUUAAGUGCCUUAAAAUUAGGUGGAAUGUUUGGCCGACUGCAGCUCGUGCGUCCAGAGGUAGG